AUUGAACGCUGGCGGCAGGCUUAACACAUGCAAGUCGAGCGGGGUGAUGGUGCUUGCACUAUCACUUAGCGGCGGACGGGUGAGUAAUGCUUAGGAAUCUGCCUAUUAGUGGGGGACAACAUCUCGAAAGGAAUGCUAAUACCGCAUACGUCCUACGGGAGAAAGCAGGGGAUCACUUGUGACCUUGCGCUAAUAGAUGAGCCUAAGUCGGAUUAGCUAGUUGGUGGGGUAAAGGCCUACCAAGGCGACGAUCUGUAGCGGGUCUGAGAGGAUGAUCCGCCACAGUGGGACUGAGACACGGCCCAGACUCCUACGGGAGGCAGCAGUGGGGAAUAUUGGACAAUGGGGGGAACCCUGAUCCAGCCAUGCCGCGUGUGUGAAGAAGGCCUUAUGGUUGUAAAGCACUUUAAGCGAGGAGGAGGCUCUUUUGGUUAAUACCCAAGAUGAGUGGACGUUACUCGCAGAAUAAGAACCGGCUAACUCUGUGCCAGCCGCCGCGGUAA
rnacentral:rRNA from 1 species